rnacentral:tRNA from 1 species
AGCGCGUUCGUCUAGUGGUUAAUAGGACUCUUCGUCUUCAACGAAGAAACGGUGGUUCAAAUCCACCACGCGCUACAA